GCUUGUGGGAAAAUCACCUGAAAUGUGCCCAAUCUCAUCAGAUCUCAGAAGCUAAGCAUGUUUGAGCUUGGAUAGUACCUGAACGGGUGACCACCAUGCAUAAUAGUAGCUACAAUAU
rnacentral:rRNA from 1 species